AACGUAGGAGACAAACGUUAUCCGGAGUUACUGGGCGUAAAGGGCGUGUAGGCGGUUUGUUAAGUUUGGCGUGAAAGCUCUCGGCUAAACCGGGAGAGGUCGUUGGAUACUGGCAAACUAGAGGACGGUAGAGGCGUGUGGAAUUCCGGGUGUAGUGGUGAAAUGCGUAGAGAUCCGGAGGAACACCAGUGGCGAAGGCGACACGCUGGGCCGUACCUGACGCUAAAGCGCGACAGCAUGGGGAGCAAACGGGG
rnacentral:rRNA from 1 species